rnacentral:lncRNA from 10 species
AUGUCUCAAAGAUGCUGAUCCCACCCUCAGAUCCAGAAUGGGACAAACUAGCAUAUGAAUAUCACUUUCCUCUUGGCAGUGAUUGGUUCAGAAAUGGCCAUGUGAGCCAAUUCUGGUCAAUAAGACUAGAGAAUAGAUUUGAUAAUGUCUUCUGGAAGCUUCUUUCUCAGUUUUAAGAAAGAACCACAAAUAGUAGUCUCUCUCUCACUGAAUGUGAAUAAGAAAGAAAGCAGCCACAAUGACUACUGAUAGCCAUCCCACCGUAAGAAGAGCCAGACUUAGGAUGAAGCCAACCAGCCAACCCUGGGAAUGUCACAGAAGAGAAUGAGAGUAAUGAGACAUCACUUAAUGACAUCACUAAGACAUUGGCUCAACCAACCCUGAGGAACACCCCCCACCUCUGGACUUCCUGCCUUGCAAGUGUGAAAAGGAAGACUUGACUGAUUAAUGAGAU